UUUUUUUUUUCUCCUUCCUCUAUCCAUCACUUCGUUUCGCAUCUUUCUUAGUGCUUGAUUUUUUAGGAUUUCGGUAUUUUUGUGGGGAUUUCGCUUUAUUUUGUUAAUUUUGGAAUUAAUAGGUUGUGGAUCCUCUUUUGUGGGAUGUAUAUUCACUAUUGGGGGUAAGGGUUUCAUUGAUUUUGUCAUUUGUGGAACCGUAGUUAGUGGCUGAUUUGAGUGUGAUUCAUAGCAAUUGAACGGUUAUUGGUGGUUAUGUUUUUGUUUCUUGGACCAGUCAUUUGCUAGACUCGUGCAUCUGCAUUUAUUGGCUUAUUGGUAUUGUUUUUCUUGUUUAAUGACUACACCUAAAAAAAGGAAGGGGCCCAAAACCUCGUCUUCUCACUGUUCCACGGGUACAACCAGUAAAUGGCAAGCCAUUGGCUCUCAUAGUCGGUCUGGCACAGUUGAUGCCUCUAGUUCCAAUCAAUGAGGAGACUCUUCAACCCCCAAUGUCUUUAAAUUCAAGCCUAACUUUGAGGCCGAGUCAUGCUUUAAUCGGUCUUUUAAAUCACGCCUAGUGUUUGUCUCCCAAGAUGUUAUGCUUGAUGAAUUUUUUGAGACUCUAAUCUACACGUAUUUUACUAAAUGGCGUUGGCAACAUCUUGCUAUUUCUGAUGGGGUUGUGUGUCUCGAACUUGUUCGAGAGUUCUUUGCAAACAUUCAUUCCAUGGAUAAGGAGGCCGAGACAUUAAAGACAUACGUAUGUGGAGUGUUUCUUGAUUUUUCUAUUUCUAAUAUUUGUGUCUUCCACCACAUUCAACCCCUCGACCCCGAUAUUAUUGAGUUUCCGUAUCCUCCAUCUACGAGUGGGCCUACCUUGAACUCCUUGGCUCAUUUUUUGUUGGCCGAUGAGAGUGAUUGGCCUCUUGGUCCAUCGAGUCUCCUAAAGCAAAAAAGGGUUGAAGAACGUGUUUCGUAUCCUUAACCAUACUGUAUAUGAUCUUUUUCAAUGCACGUCCCAUGUGAGUGAGAUUGAUGAGAUUCGUGCACGUUGCAUGCAUGCCAUUGCCUCUGACUUGCCGGUCGAUGUGAGUCGGAUGAUGUUUAAACUUAUUCUUGAGGUGUCAUUGGAUAACUCUUCAUGAGCAUAUCUUCCAUUUGGGCUCUUGAUUACUAACUUUUUGGGUCGACAUCAGAUUGUGUCUGAGCCACAUGAGACUUGCCUUCCAACUAGUAAACCCAUUUCUAGAAAUACUCUUCGAAUUAGUAAUGCACACCAAGGAGUUGCUCCUCCCCCGUCUCAGUUUCGGUCCCAUGCUAUGUACCUUGAUCUUUCUGAUGAUGAGACUCCUCUUGCUACCACUGAUAUUCCAUCUUCCCCCACUGCUCCUCCUACUGCCACUGAUGUUCUGUCUACCUCCACUGCUCCUCCUGUUGCAGUUGAUCUUGCUAUUGCUUCAACUUCAAAGAUUGUUGAUGCCAUUGCUGCUUUAUUCACACGUAUGAAUGUGAUUCAUACGGACUUAGUCGAGCACAUUGGUUUGGUGCAUGAGAGAGUUGAUUUAAUUGUGGAGCGUCAGGCUCAUGACAUUAUUUACAUCCACAACACACUUUCAGCACUGUCUCGCCGACACACUGAGUUCAUCACCGAAAUGAAUGAUUUAAUAAAUAGUAUUAGUCAUCAGUGAUGUAGUUUUGUAAUUAUGGAGACUAAGCUUUUUAGGAAUGGUUGUAUUUGAAUAAUUUUAUGUGCUUCAUGGAUAUUUUGCAUUUUAGCUUUAUUUAUGUUGAAUGUUUGGUGCUUUUGGAUAUAUAUCUAUUGGUUAUUGGCUUUGUUCCCCAUGCUUUCUUUGUAAAUUUGUUCCAAAAAUGGAGAAAGGAAACUACCUCAUCUACUCUUACGAAUUUCUAUUCUAUAGUUUUGAUAUCGAUUCUAUAUUGUUAUUUCUUGCACUUGAUCGAUUUGGUUAUUUGUUUCCGUAUGUGCAGGGAUGAUCCUUUGUACUUAUGAUUGGGGUUUUAUUGUAUUUAUUUUUAUUUUCCUAUAAUGUGUCCUUGUAUAGGGUUUUGAUCACGAAAUUGCCAAAGAGAGAGAUUGAAAAGUUAUAUAAUUGGCCAAAUUUUGUGAUAUAACUUAUUUAAUAUAAUCCGGGGAUUUGAAUUAUCAAUUACAAGCAUUCGAAAAGGUUUUCAAAUAUAUUCAUGCAACCUUGGCUAAGAGAGACUUGUAUCAUCAAGGAUAAUAAAUGGGUCUUCGAGGGACGUCGAUGGAAUUAGAGGAAUCUCGAGGGCAAAAAUAGUGGGUGGAAUUUGAUCAAGAUCUCGCAGGUACCUCGAGGGAUAUCGAUGGAUCUCGAGGGAAAAUACAAAAAGCUAGCAAAUUCACAGAGAGUUUGCGGGUACUUCGCGAGAUGUCAAGGGCAAAAGUCGAAAGCCCACAAAGAUACACAAAACUUACGGGGUCUUCACGAGAACGAGACACGAAAAAUUGCAGCAUUGAAAAUCGCUCUAUUAGGGU
rnacentral:lncRNA from 1 species